rnacentral:rRNA from 1 species
UUAAGCGACUAAGCGUACACGGUGGAUGCCCUGGCAGUCAGAGGCGAUGAAGGGCGUGCUAAUCUGCGAUAAGCGCCGGUAAGGUGAUAUGAACCGUUAUAACCGGCGAUACCCGAAUGGGGAAACCCAGUGUGACUCGUCACACUAUCAUUAACUGAAUCCAUAGGUUAAUGAGGCGAACCGGGGGAACUGAAACAUCUAAGUACCCCGAGGAAAAGAAAUCAACCGAGAUUCCCCCAGUAGCGGCGAGCGAACGGGGAGGAGCCCAGAGCCUGAAUCAGCAUAUGUGUUAGUGGAAGCGUCUGGAAAGGCGCGCGAUACAGGGUGACAGCCCCGUACACAAAAGCGCAUGUGCUGUGAGCUCGAUGAGUAGGGCGGGACACGUGGUAUCCUGUCUGAAUAUGGGGGGACCAUCCUCCAAGGCUAAAUACUCCUGACUGACCGAUAGUGAACCAGUACCGUGAGGGAAAGGCGAAAAGAACCCCGGCGAGGGGAGUGAAAAAGAACCUGAAACCGUGUACGUACAAGCAGUGGGAGCACCCUUUUGGGUGUGACUGCGUACCUUUUGUAUAAUGGGUCAGCGACUUAUAUUCUGUAGCAAGGUUAACCGAAUAGGGGAGCCGGAGGGAAACCGAGUCUUAAUUGGGCGUUAAGUUGCAGGGUAUAGACCCGAAACCCGGUGAUCUAGCCAUGGGCAGGUUGAAGGUUGGGUAACACUAACUGGAGGACCGAACCGACUAAUGUUGAAAAAUUAGCGGAUGACCUGUGGCUGGGGGUGAAAGGCCAAUCAAACCGGGAGAUAGCUGGUUCUCCCCGAAAGCUAUUUAGGUAGCGCCUCGUGAAUUCAUCUCCGGGGGUAGAGCACUGUUUCGGCUAGGGGGCCAUCCCGGCUUACCAACCCGAUGCAAACUGCGAAUACCGGAGAAUGUUAUCACGGGAGACACACGGCGGGUGCUAACGUCCGUCGUGAAGAGGGAAACAACCCAGACCGCCAGCUAAGGUCCCAAAGUCAUGGUUAAGUGGGAAACGAUGUGGGAAGGCCCAGACAGCCAGGAUGUUGGCUUAGAAGCAGCCAUCAUUUAAAGAAAGCGUAAUAGCUCACUGGUCGAGUCGGCCUGCGCGGAAGAUGUAACGGGGCUAAACCAUGCACCGAAGCUGCGGCAGCGACGCUGAUGCGUUGUUGGGUAGGGAGCGUUCUGUAAGCCUGUGAAGGUGUGUCGUGAGGCAUGCUGGAGGUAUCAGAAGUGCGAAUGCUGACAUAAGUAACGAUAAAGCGGGUGAAAAGCCCGCUCGCCGGAAGACCAAGGGUUCCUGUCCAACGUUAAUCGGGGCAGGGUGAGUCGACCCCUAAGGCGAGGCCGAAAGGCGUAGUCGAUGGGAAACGGGUUAAUAUUCCCGUACUUGGUGUUACUGCGAAGGGGGGACGGAGAAGGCUAUGUUGGCCGGGCGACGGUUGUCCCGGUUUAAGCGUGUAGGUGUGUGUUCCAGGUAAAUCCGGUUCACUUUAACACUGAGGCGUGAUGACGAGGCACUACGGUGCUGAAGCAACAAAUGCCCUGCUUCCAGGAAAAGCCUCUAAGCAUCAGGUAACAUCAAAUCGUACCCCAAACCGACACAGGUGGUCAGGUAGAGAAUACCAAGGCGCUUGAGAGAACUCGGGUGAAGGAACUAGGCAAAAUGGUGCCGUAACUUCGGGAGAAGGCACGCUGACAUGUAGGUGAAGUGAUUUACUCAUGGAGCUGAAGUCAGUCGAAGAUACCAGCUGGCUGCAACUGUUUAUUAAAAACACAGCACUGUGCAAACACGAAAGUGGACGUAUACGGUGUGACGCCUGCCCGGUGCCGGAAGGUUAAUUGAUGGGGUCAGCGCAAGCGAAGCUCCUGAUCGAAGCCCCGGUAAACGGCGGCCGUAACUAUAACGGUCCUAAGGUAGCGAAAUUCCUUGUCGGGUAAGUUCCGACCUGCACGAAUGGCGUAAUGAUGGCCAGGCUGUCUCCACCCGAGACUCAGUGAAAUUGAACUCGCUGUGAAGAUGCAGUGUACCCGCGGCAAGACGGAAAGACCCCGUGAACCUUUACUAUAGCUUGACACUGAACAUUGAGCCUUGAUGUGUAGGAUAGGUGGGAGGCUUUGAAGUGUGGACGCCAGUCUGCAUGGAGCCGACCUUGAAAUACCACCCUUUAAUGUUUGAUGUUCUAACGUGGACCCGUAAUCCGGGUUGCGGACAGUGUCUGGUGGGUAGUUUGACUGGGGCGGUCUCCUCCUAAAGAGUAACGGAGGAGCACGAAGGUUGGCUAAUCCUGGUCGGACAUCAGGAGGUUAGUGCAAUGGCAUAAGCCAGCUUGACUGCGAGCGUGACGGCGCGAGCAGGUGCGAAAGCAGGUCAUAGUGAUCCGGUGGUUCUGAAUGGAAGGGCCAUCGCUCAACGGAUAAAAGGUACUCCGGGGAUAACAGGCUGAUACCGCCCAAGAGUUCAUAUCGACGGCGGUGUUUGGCACCUCGAUGUCGGCUCAUCACAUCCUGGGGCUGAAGUAGGUCCCAAGGGUAUGGCUGUUCGCCAUUUAAAGUGGUACGCGAGCUGGGUUUAGAACGUCGUGAGACAGUUCGGUCCCUAUCUGCCGUGGGCGCUGGAGAACUGAGGGGGGCUGCUCCUAGUACGAGAGGACCGGAGUGGACGCAUCACUGGUGUUCGGGUUGUCAUGCCAAUGGCACUGCCCGGUAGCUAAAUGCGGAAGAGAUAAGUGCUGAAAGCAUCUAAGCACGAAACUUGCCCCGAGAUGAGUUCUCCCUGAGACUUAGAGUCUCCUGAAGGAACGUUGAAGACGACGACGUUGAUAGGCCGGGUGUGUAAGCGCAGCGAUGCGUUGAGCUAACCGGUACUAAUGAACCGUGAGGCUUAACCUU